rnacentral:rRNA from 1 species
AUUGACCGCUGGCGGUAGGCCUAACACAUGCAAGUCGAGCGAGCGGCGGACGGGUGAGUAAUGCCUGGGAAUUGCCCAGUAGAGGGGGAUAACAGUUGGAAACGACAGCUAAUACCGCAUACGAUGGGAUUGCCCAGGUGGGAUUAGCUCGUUGGUGAGGUAAUGGCUCACCCAGGCGACGAUCACUAGCUGGUCUGAGAGUAUGAUCAGCCACACGUGAACUGAUACACGGUCCAGACUCCUACGGGAGGCAGCAGUGGGGAAUAUUGCACAAUGGGGUAAACCCGGAUGCAGCCAUGCCGCGUGUGUGAAGAAGGCCUUCGGUUUGUAAAGCACUUUCAGCGAGGAGGCGUUACUCGCAGAAGAAGCACCGGCUAACUCCGUGCCAGCAGCCGCGGUAAUUC